GCGUGAGGACCAAGGUCUGCUGUGUGUGACUUAAUGAGGCCGUCACAGAGGGAAACCUCCACAGGUGAACAUCGGCUCAGACGCCCAGGGACCUGCUCCUCCUGCGCAAGACGGGCUCCCUCCGAGUGAGCGGUGGCUGUGCCUCCCGGGAGUCUGCCUCCAGAGAUCACAUGGAUGCAGUAGAUAAAUGACCAUUCAGGCUGCAGCUACAUGGGGUCAGGUGGGGACUCCGGGGAGUGUCCAAGACAUGGCAGCCCCGUUACAUACGGAAUAAUGGAGCCAUUGAAGCCGGUCACUUUGGGACCACACAUCAUCAGCCGAGGACCUGACAGAACCCUCAGUCCCCGCACUGAGCUGUCACCUGCCUUCUCAACAUCCCUACAGGCCGGGAGUGCAGACCAUGUCCCUUCACAACCAGGACCUCACAGUGGCACCGUAGCAACCUCCAUUUAAGGGACAAAGGCCAGUAGGGUAAUCGGGGCAACCCUAGCAUUAAUCUGACAAUGAAUUGGGAUGAUGAGAGAAGUGUAGAGACGCCAGAAAGGUGGGUGGAGGCAGAGGGAGGAAGCCACGCAGCCCGUCCCCAGUCCCCAGGUGUUCGAGAGGGCGUCGCUGGCAUGGGUCACUGGUACCCAGGUAGGGGUGGGGAAGCCUUGGGUCCGAGUGACAGUCGGUCCCCGAGCCCUUGCCAACAGAAAUAGAAAAAGCAGGAGUCAAUCAGACGGCUCUGUUUGGAAAGUAAACCAAGCCUCCUCCAUCCAUCCUGGGCUCCGACCUGAGGAUGGAGGGUCCUGGCCCAGCUCUGGAGUGCCCGGGGCACAGCAAGGCCUCCAUCACCCCGCCAGGAAAAUGGGCCACGGGAGUAGCUGGGGCUUUUCUGCGGGUGAGCAGGGCCUGCAGGUGGGCCGGGUGGGAAGCUCGGUGCAAGCUGCCGGGCACAGGGAGGCAGGUCUUGCCUGGUAGGCGGGCCGCUCCUCUGCCGGCUGCCCCGCGCGCCUCUUACUCGUCCCACACGUCCCAGCUGACGCGCUCAUAUUGUGGAUGAAGAAACCGAGACUCCGGUCGGCUAAACGACUUCCCGAGAGUCAGAGGGGAGGUAGAAAAGGCCGGAGGCGGGACUCCCACUCGGAUCUGCUUCCACACCUGCGUGCUCCCCCGCCCGUCUCUCCGGGAGGCUCGGACCGCAACCCGAGCGCGCCGCCGAGACCCCACGCUGCCAACCUCUCGCCGCUUCUGGCCGCCAUAGAACACUCCCCUCCCAAAUCUUCAGCCCGCGGGGCCCAGGAGAUGGCUCCAAUGCUGGCUGAACUGAUUUGAAAUUAAAUGAGGGCUGGAGGAAGCAGCCACACGCACAGCUCAAUAACCCCACCGCACCCUGUUUUGAAAGAAGGAAGUGGCCAUUGGGUCAGACUGUCAAGGGCCCUGGUGGAGCCUUCUGGAAAGACACUGUUACAUGGACCCCGCUGGAGAGCUGGCUAGUGAGCCCUGGUGAGUGUGGGCAUCAGUCUGCCCACGGGAGCAGGAAGUGAAGGACAGCUGGGGGAGCCCCAGAUUAAAUUCCACGCUCAGCUCCCUCUGCCCUUUUCCCGCCGUGAGCAUAAUGCCUGGUGGCCGUGCACUUUACUCCAUGGUCUGAGCUGCCACGGAAGGCACAUUUUAUCUAAGGCCAGAUAAAGUGCACAGGACCGCACAUCACAGAUGCAGACUGCUCUGAGUCACCGACGCCAGCGGACGUGCACUUUGCGAUGACGGCCCUUUUGUCCUUCUGGUUGGCACCUUUACUGCUCUAUGGACUUGAGUGACUGGUUGUGAAAUACAGUAAGGAAUCUUUGGUCUUUUGUACCGGUUCUUGGCACACAGCUCCUAAAACCUUUGAAAUCACUGGGGUGAUCUUCUGCAUGCUAGUGAGAAGAGUGGUGG